AACGAACGCUGGCGGCGUGCCUAACACAUGCAAGUCGUGCGAGAAAGUUCCUUCGGGAGCGAGUAAAGCGGCGCACGGGUGAGUAACACGUAGGUAACCUGCCCCCCAGUCUGGAACAACUAGAGGAAACUCUAGCUAAUGCCGGAUGAGACCACGAUCCCUUCGGGGGUUGCGGCCAAAGAUGGCCUCUACUUGUAAGCUAUCGCUGAGGGAUGGGCCUGCGGGCCAUUAGCUUGUUGGUGAGGUAACGGCUCACCAAGGCUGUGAUGGCUAGCUGGUCUGAGAGGAUGACCAGCCACACUGGGACUGAGACACGGCCCAGGACUCCUACGGAGGCAGCAGUGGGGAAUAUUGCGCAAUGGGCGAAAGCCUGACGCAGCGACGCCGCGUGGGUGAUGAAGGCCU
rnacentral:rRNA from 1 species